GAAAUAUAUAAAUUUUUAAAAUUAAGCUGCUAACUUAAUUUUUAGUGGUUAAAUUCCAUUAAUAUUUCU
rnacentral:tRNA from 1 species